rnacentral:rRNA from 1 species
CCUACGGGUGGCAGCAGUGGGGGAUAUUGCACAAUGGGGGAAACCCUGAUGCAGCGACGCCGCGUGGGUGAAGAAGCGCCUCGGCGCGUAAAGCCCUGUCAGCAGGGAAGAAAAUGACGGUACCUGAAGAAGAAGCCCCGGCCAACUACGUGCCAGCAGCCGUGGUAAUACGUAGGGGGCAAGCGUGAUCCGGAUUUACUGGGUGUAAGGGGGGCGCAGACGGCGAGGCAAGCCAGGGGUGAAAGCCCGGGGCCCAACCCCGGGACUGCUCUUAGAACUGUGUGGCUAGAGUGUAGGAGGGGUAGGCGGAAUGCCUGGUGUAGCGGUGAAAUGCGUAGAUAUCAGGAGGAACACCGAUGGCGAAGGCGGCCUGCUGGACUGCAACUGACGUUGAGGCCCGAAAGCGUGGGGAGCAAACAGGAUUAGAUACCCGGGUAGUC